rnacentral:rRNA from 1 species
CCUGUUUAUCAAAAACAUGGCUCUUUGAUUAUGAAAUAUAAAGAGUCGGACCUGCCCAGUGAUAAAAAUUUAACGGCCGCGGUACUCUGACCGUGCAAAGGUAGCAUAAUCAUUUGCCCUAUAAUUGAGGGCUAGUAUGAAUGGUUUGACAAGAGUAAUACUGUCUCUCUAAAAUUUUCUAGAAAUUAAUUUUUAGGUGAAGAAUCCUAAAUAAAAUUGAAAGACAAGAAGACCCUAUCGAGCUUCAAAGAAGCAUGUAGACAUAAUAAGCAUCAUUGCAUUUUCUACUACUUGAAAUUUUGGUUGGGGCGACUGAGGAACAUUCAGAGCUUCUUUAAUAUUGUUAAAACCCACAGGUUUUGAUCCAGCUAAAAUGCUGAUUAAUGGAAUUAGUUACCGUAGGGAUAACAGCAUAAUCUUCUUCAAGAGCUCAUAUCGAAAAGAAGGUUUGUGACCUCGAUGUUGGACUAGAAUAUCCUGAAGAUGCAGAAGU